AUAAGAAUCUCCACCUUAAAAGUGGUAAACACCUGUGAAUUGUUACACCUCCACACUUACACCGGCGUCACUAACUUUCAUAAUAAGGAUGUUGUCAGCUGCUGUACUGUUGGCACUGGUGACCGUAUCUGUGGCUUCUGAAGGAGCAAAGUGGAAGUACGGGGAAACAGACAGUCACGGUACAGACAACAGAGUCUUGAAGUAUAGAUUAACAAUUCAUUUACUG